GUAGAUAAUGAUAAACUAAAAUUAGAGCUCCAUUUUUAACUAGUUUUGGGAUUAUAUAUGUUCACAAUAUAUGGUUUUUGUUCCUUUCUGAAAAUUGUUUGGUCAUUAAUAAUCAUUCCUAGAUAAGAAUGCACAAUGGAGAUGCUAGCACUGAGAGAAGUACUAUAUAUAUAUUACUCGAGAGAAGUACUAUAUAUAUAUUACUCCAGACCGAUAGAUUUUUUAUCAUAACACUUGUAGUGAUCUUGUUCCCUCUGUUUUAUUGUAUAUAAGUUUAUGGAUGAGGGUUCUG
rnacentral:lncRNA from 1 species